rnacentral:misc_RNA from 1 species
AAGUCGUAACAAGGUUUCCGUAGGUGAACCUGCGGAAGGAUCAUUAGUGAAUCUUCAAAGUCGGCUCGUUGGAUUGUGCUGGUGGAGACACAUGUGCACGUCUGCGGGUCGCAAAUCCACACACCUGUGCAUCUAUGACUCUGAGUGCCGCUUUGCAUGGCCCUUGACCGGGCCUGGCGCUCGAGUACUUUCACACACUCGAAUGUAACGGAAUGUCUUGUUGUGCGUAACGUACAAAAACAAAAACAACUUUCAACAACGGAUCUCUUGGCUCUC